UCGGUGAUUGGAAAGUGAACGUUGAGGUAUAGGAAGUUUGUGAGAAUUGUGGUGAGUAUGAUGUAAGUGAUGCUAGGACUAGAUGCCUAACAAUGCGAGUUUUCGGUUUUAUUGAAGAAAUUUUUAAAUGCAAAAGUUUGUUCAAAAUAAAACGAUAUUUUAACUUGAAUCAAUUCACACUCUUCUUGAUUUAUCCUAUGCUUAAACCUUCUCCCGCACGGGUUCUACAUUCCAAAGUGUUAAUAAAUG
rnacentral:lncRNA from 1 species